rnacentral:rRNA from 1 species
UACGUAGGGCGCGAGCGUUGUCCGGAAUUAUUGGGCGUAAAGAGCUCGUAGGCGGUCUGUCGCGUCGGCUGUGAAAACUCGGGGCUCAACUCCGAGCUUGCAGUCGAUACGGGCAGGCUAGAGUUCGGCAGGGGAGACUGGAAUUCCUGGUGUAGCGGUGAAAUGCGCAGAUAUCAGGAGGAACACCGGUGGCGAAGGCGGGUCUCUGGGCCGAUACUGACGCUGAGGAGCGAAAGCGUGGGGAGCAAACAGG